CGAUGUACUCCUCGUAGGCGUCGCGGUACUCGGCUUGCUGCCUGUCGGUCAACUUGCAGAUGUUGUUGGACGAUUCUUGCGAGUUGAGGCUGGACAUGCUUGUGGUGCGGAGAGCUGUCAACUGACAAGACAAAGAAAAAGCCUGCUGAUACGUAGAGGAACACUUCUGACUUCCUCUGCUGUGCUCUUUUCUCGCUCUAUACCACAUGAAUGAGGCCGCUGCCAGAGCGAGGACUGACCGGCCACUGCGAGCUGCUGCUGAUGUGUCUCGGGGGCUCCUCCAGUCCAGCUCGGCUGAGCUCCUCAAAGCUCAGGUUGAGGCUGAAGGCCGCCCCUUCCCGCGGGGCCCCCAC